rnacentral:rRNA from 1 species
UGGGGAAUAUUGGACAAUGGGCGAAAGCCUGAUCCAGCAAUGCCGCGUGUGUGACGAAGGCCUUCGGGUUGUAAAGCACUUUCAGUAGGGAAGAAAAGCACAGGGCUAAUACCCUUGUGUCAUGACGUUAUCUACAGAAGAAGCACCGGCUAACUCUGUGCCAGCAGCCGCGGUAAUACAGAGGGUGCAAGCGUUAAUCGGAAUUACUGGGCGUAAAGCGCACGUAGGUGGAUUUUUAAGUCGUAUGUGAAAGCCCUGGGCUCAACCUGGGAACUGCAUACGAUACUGGAUAUCUAGAGUAUGGUAGAGGGAAGUGGAAUUUCUGGUGUAGCGGUGAAAUGCAUAGAUAUCAGAAGGAACAUCAGUGGCGAAGGCGGCUUCCUGGACCAAUACUGACACUGAGGUGCGAAAGCGUGGGUAGCAAACAGG